UUCCGGUUGAUCCCGCCGGAGGUUACUGCUAUCGAGGUUCGACUAAGCCAUGCGAGUCGAAUGCCGCAAGGCAUGGCGUACUGCUCAGUAACACGUGGACAACCUACCCUUAGGACUGGGAUAACCCCGGGAAACUGGGAAUAAUCCCCGAUAGUCCUCGAAGGCUGGAAUGCAUCGAGGGCGAAAGCUCCGGCGCCUAAGGAUGGGUCUGCGGCCUAUCAGGUAGUAGUGGGUGCAGCGUACCUACUAGCCUACGACGGGUACGGGUUGUGAGAGCAAGAGCCCGGAGAUGGAUUCUGAGACACGAAUCCAGGCCCUACGGGGUGCAGCAGGCGCGAAAACUUUACAAUGCUGGCAACAGCGAUAAGGGAACCUUGAGUGCCAGGUUACAAAUCUGGCUGUCGAGAUGCCUAAAAAGCAUUUCAUAGCAAGGGCCGGGCAAGACCGGUGCCAGCCGCCGCGGUAACACCGGCGGCUCGAGUGGUAACCGUUAUUAUUGGGUCUAAAGGGUCUGUAGCCGGCCGGAUAAGUCUCUUGGGAAAUCUGGCAGCUCAACUGUCAGGCUAUCAGGAGAUACUGUCUGGCUCGAGGCCGGGAGAGGUGAGAGGUACUUCAGGGGUAGGGGUG
rnacentral:rRNA from 1 species